AAACGUAGGAGGCUAGCGUUAUUCGGAUUUAUUGGGCGUAAAGCGCGUGCAGGCGGUCUGACAAGUUGGAUGUGAAAGCUCCUGGCUCAACUGGGAGACGUCGUUCAAAACUGUUGGACUAGAGAAUGGGAGAGGGAGGUGGAAUUCCGGGUGUAGUGGUGAAAUGCGUAGAUAUCCGGAGGAACACCAGUGGCGAAAGCGGCCUCCUGGACCAUUUCUGACGCUAAGACGCGAAAGCUAGGGUAGCAAACGGGAUUAGAGACCCCGGUAGUCCUAGCCGUAAACGAUGUAGACUUGGCGUUGGCGGAGUUAAAUCUGCCAGUGCCGGAGCUAACGCGUGAAGUCUACCGCCUGGGGAUUACGACCGCAAGGUUAAA
rnacentral:rRNA from 1 species